UUUAGGCUUGCCAAAUACAUUGGCUUCAUCAAACAUUAUAAAUCAUGUUAAAAUCCAUAAAAAUCUACGUUCUUGGUAAUUCUCCGAGACUCGUUUUCCAAUACUGAGAGAUAACGAAAUUAAAACUAAUUGGAACCAAUCAACCCAAAAAAGAAAAAGAAAAAAAAAAGUCCGUUUGGACAUCUUUGGAAUAUGAGUUUAGGUCUCAAAUUCAAAUUCCACCCAAGUUGAGUUAGUGGCAGGGUAUAGUGGGAUCUAUGGGAUGAAAAAGCCUCACCAAUGAACUAAACCUCAAAAAAAAAAAAGGUCCCUAGA
rnacentral:misc_RNA from 1 species